AAUGGGGGAAACCCUGACGCAGCAACGCCGCGUGGGUGAUGAAGGCCUUCGGGUCGUAAAGCCCUGUCGGGAGGGAAGAAAUGAUUGAGAGCUAAUACCUCUUGGUCUUGACGGUACCUCCGAAGGAAGCACCGGCUAACUCCGUGCCAGCAGCCGCGGUAACACGUAAGGGGCGAGCGUUGUUCGGAAUUAUUGGGCGUAAAGGGCGCGUAGGCGGUCUUGUAAGCCCGGCGUGAAAACCUGGAGCUCAACUCCGGGCCUGCGCUGGGAACUGCGGGACUAGAGUCAUGGAAGGGAAGUUGGAAUUCCAGGUGUAGGGGUGAAAUCUGUAGAUAUCUGGAAGAACACCGGUGGCGAAGGCGAACUUCUGGCCAAUGACUGACGCUGAGGCGCGAAAGUGCGGGGAGCAAA
rnacentral:rRNA from 1 species